GACGAACGCUGGCGGCGUGCUUAACACAUGCAAGUCGAACGGUGAAGCCCUUCGGGGUGGCUCAGUGGCGAACGGGUGAGUAACACGUGAGCAACCUGCCCCUGGCUCUGGGACAACCACUGGAAACGGUGGCUAAUACCGGAUACGACCCGCCUCGGCAUCGAGUGUGGGUGGAAAGUUUUUCGGCUGGGGAUGGGCUCGCGGCCUAUCAGCUUGUUGGUGAGGUGAAGGCUCACCAAGGCGACGACGGGUAGCCGGCCUGAGAGGGCGACCGGCCACACUGGGACUGAGACACGGCCCAGACUCCUACGGGAGGCAGCAGUGGGGAAUAUUGCACAAUGGGCGAAAGCCUGAUGCAGCGACGCCGCGUGAGGGAUGACGGCCUUCGGGUUGUAAACCUCUUUCAACUCCGAAGAAGCGAAAGUGACGGUAGGAGCAGAAGAAGCACCGGCUAACUACGUG
rnacentral:rRNA from 1 species